CCUACGGGGGGCAGCAGUGGGGAAUAUUGGACAAUGGGGGCAACCCUGAUCCAGCCAUGCCGCGUGUGUGAAGAAGGCCCUCGGGUUGUAAAGCACUUUCAGUGAGGAAGAACGCCUGGUGGUUAAUACCCAUCAGGAAAGACAUCACUCACAGAAGAAGCACCGGCUAACUCCGUGCCAGCAGCCGCGGUAAUACGGAGGGUGCGAGCGUUAAUCGGAAUUACUGGGCGUAAAGCGCGCGUAGGUGGCUUGAUAAGCCGGUUGUGAAAGCCCCGGGCUCAACCUGGGAACGGCAUCCGGAACUGUCAAGCUAGAGUGCAGGAGAGGAAGGUAGAAUUCCCGGUGUAGCGGUGAAAUGCGUAGAGAUCGGGGGGAAUACCAGUGGCGAAGGCGGCCUUCUGGACUGACACUGACACUGAGGUGCGAAAGCGUGGGUAGCAAACAGGAUUAGAUACCCUAGUAGUC
rnacentral:rRNA from 1 species